CCUGCUACCGCCCAUGCGCAGAGAGAGGGGGCAACAGCGACGGAGAAAACAACAACAACAAGAGAACAGCGAGAUGGCUCCAUGAAUACAGGCCAACUUCACUCUCACCCAGUUACUAUCCACAACCUACCCGACUGCUGCUUUCUCACACGGCUGGAUUAGAUGGUGCCGGGCCCAUGAACUUGGCUAGUCAGAGCGGGGAGACCGGCUGUAGCCAGCUCCUCUUCGCCAACUUUAACCAGGACAACACGUCUUUAGCUGUUGGAACCAAAUCAGGCUACAAGUUCUUCUCCCUAUCGUCUGUGGACAAGUUGGAGCAGAUUUAUGAAUGUACGGACACAGAGGAUGUGUGUAUUGUAGAGCGUCUGUUCAGCAGUAGUCUGGUGGCGAUCGUCAGUCUGAAGGCUCCUAGGAAGCUGAAGGUCUGUCACUUCAAGAAGGGAACGGAGAUCUGUAACUAUAGUUACAGUAACACUAUACUGGCUGUCAAGCUCAACAGACAGAGGCUCAUAGUAUGUCUGGAGGAAUCUCUGUACAUCCACAACAUCAGAGACAUGAAGGUCCUGCACACCAUCAGAGAGACACCUCCCAACCCCUCAGGGUUGUGUGCUCUCUCCAUCAGUAAUGAUAACUGUUACCUGGCCUACCCCGGCAGUGCUACAAUAGGAGAGGUCCAGGUGUUCGACACGGUCAACCUGAGGGCAGCCAACAUGAUCCCAGCCCAUGACAGUCCAUUAGCAGCUGUGGUGUUUGAUGCUAGCGGAACCAAACUGGCCACAGCCUCGGAGAAGGGUACGGUGAUUCGUGUGUUCUCCAUCCCUGAGGGACAGAAACUGUUUGAGUUCCGUCGAGGAGUCAAAAGGUGUGUAUCUAUCUGUUCCCUGGCCUUCAGUAUGGAAGGCCUCUACCUAUCAGCAUCCAGUAACACGGAGACGGUCCACAUCUUCAAACUGGAGACGCAGAAAGAGAAGCCAACAGAGGAGCCGACGACAUGGGGUGGAUACUUUGGGAAGGUCCUGAUGGCGUCCACCACCUACCUGCCCUCUCAGGUGACAGAGAUGUUCACUCAGGGACGAGCCUUCGCCACCGUACGACUGCCCUUCUCUGGACACAAGAACAUCUGUGCUCUGGCCCUAUAUCGCCAAGCUCUAACACUCACACGCUGGGAAGCGCACACACAGUCAGAUGAGUCUGAUUCAAGUUUGUGUGUGUGUGUGUGUGUAGGAUCCAAAAGAUUCCUCGUCUCCUGGUAGCUGCAGCUGAUGGAUAUCUGUACCUCUAUAACCUGGACCCACAGGAGGGGGGAGAGUGUACCCUGAUGAAACAACACAGGUUAGACGGCAGUGCCGAGCCGCCCAAUGAGAUCCUGGAACAGGGGUCACAUGACCGACCCCUUACUGCACAGACCUACAACACUGCUGGGAUGAAAGGUUACUGUGAGGAGGCGGGUGCAGUGGGAGGGGCGGGACUAGAGGAUGACCUCAGCGAUCUGCGAUUGGACGAUGAGAAUGAAGAGCAGCCGCCACUCAUCCUGGAGACGGACUGACUGCCACCUACAGCAACCAAUCAGAGAGCCCCUCUGGUGCUGCUAGGAACAUGUAACAUGGAGGGUGGGAUUAAAAACUCUCAGCGUUCAACAGCGCCUCUGUCUGUCUGUCUGUGGAUGUGUACAUGUUUCUCCCUCCCUCCCCCUCUGUCUCCCUCCCUCCCCCUCUGUCUCCCUCCCUCCCUCUGUCCGCCUGUGCAGGUGACUCUUUAGCUUUGCAUGUACAUGUGCCAAGACCAGAACGCUACGCAACGCUCUAACAAGGACCUCUGAAGUGUGUGUGUGUGUGUGUUUGGGUGGGUGGGCUGAGCUGUAAAUGUGUGUGCUGGGCAUGUACAUUAGCAUACGUUAGCUUCCCAGUCGCUCACUGGCUACCCAAUCAGAUGAAGGCUCAGUGGACAAGCCUUGCCCCUUCUCGCUGAGGCCUUCAGACAUUGGCAGAUGAAAUUGAUUGACAGAUCAGUCAGACCAGUGUCUGAUUGGGCGAGGAAUUUAAUCCAUAGAGAUAGAGGACUCAUCAUGUAUAUCACCCGUUUUACCUUGGACAUUGCCAUCAUCCACCAUUUUAAAGUAGUCAACUGGGUGGGGAUUACAAUGGGUUGUAACUUCAAUGGUGCUGUCACAGACUCUAAUGGCACAGAUACAAAGAUGAUUCCUCUAUCUAACUCUAUGGUGUAACCAGGGAUGUAGCUAGGGGUGAGUGAUGUUUAGCCAAUAGAGGCCUACAUUCCUGGAGGUGAUGUCUGAUUUGAUUGGUCAGAAACUACAGGUAGUGACAUCAUCAAGGCGGGGCAUGUCCACUGGGUCUCGUCAGACACAUGCCUUCCCAUGAUCCUCUGGGGUGAGGCGGAGCGGCUGGACGGACGGGGUCACAUGAUCAGACGUUUUCUAAUGAUUCAUGAUUUUGUAUAAAAUGUGAAACGGUGUUGAUUGGGAAAUAAAUAAAGUCCAUGUUGAUGUAAC